UACGUAGGGUGCGAGCGUUGUCCGGAAUUACUGGGCGUAAAGAGCUCGUAGGUGGUUUGUCGCGUUGUCCGUGAAAACUCACAGCUCAACCGCGGGCCUGCAGCCGAUACGGGCAGGCUGGAGUUCGGUGGGGGAGACUGGAAUUCCUGGUGUAGCGGUGAAAUGCGCAGAGUAUCGGGAGGAACACCUAUGGCGAAGGCAGCUCGCUGGGACGGUACUGACGCUGAGACGCGAAAGCGUGGGGAGCGAACAGG
rnacentral:rRNA from 1 species